AGGCACAAAAGAGAUCGGGGAAGACCCUGAGAGAAAUAGAAAAACGACGCAUAACUCCCAUCUUCAAUUCUCUGAAGAACAGAAGAAAAAAAAAAAAAGAAAACCUUCCCUCUUUACAAUCAGAAAAUCCCUUCUCAAGCAAAAGCCAGACGCAUCCCCUCCCUCAAAGCUCCGAAAACAAAAAAAAAUGUAAAGAAAAGGAACCACGAAGAAUGUAAAUCUGGUCCGAUUACUGCUGCAGUACUUAUACAUCUCAUGGGUGUUCGAUUUUGACUUCGAUUUCAGAAGUCGAAGUUGUUUGUUGCUGUUUCCCCUUCAAUUAGUAGCUUAACACCAAUUUGAAGUUAUUUUAGGCCUUAUUUGGCUAUUCUAAAGUCUUACUACUGUUGUCCAGUUGUGACUUACAGAUUUAGCCAUUAAUUGGUCGGGCUGUUAAAUUUGAAGCCAAAAGUCGGAUUGAAUGAACUAUGGGAUUGACAGAUUUGAAUUAAGAGCCGAGCAUCUUCUGUUUAUGUUUGGAUAUCAUUAUAAAUGGACUGUAAUUACAGUAAAAUUACUUAUUCCUCCUUGAUUUCAUUAAGGAUUGUAAUUAAAAGGCUUGAUGUGAACUCUGCAAUAGUGCGGUUGAUUGUUGGAAGAGGCUGUCAACAAAGAUUUCUCGGAGAACAAGUAUAAUUACAGUGACAUAUACUUGCAUCACUUGAUAAUCUUAGUCAUGGAUCUUUGGUUUAAAAUGAGAUAUUCAAGCAUAUUUAUAAUAAGUUGAAGUGAAAAUCAGUUUUAUGUGAAUUAGAAUUCCCACGUAUGUGCUUCUUGUUCUCCAUAUGGUAAAGCAAUCUUCAUUCUGGCUUUAGUACUUCUUGGCAAAGUGAGGACUUGGUAGUUCUUUAUUUCCAAAAUGUAUAAUUCCUUAAUCUCAAUUGUUCAGUGAACUCUUUUCUUCUAGUUGGACCUUAGGAUCAAUCAUUUGGCAGUUGCAACUCCCAUUAUUUUAUUGUGGUUAAAUAUUUUGUUUUAGUAAAAAGUGUGUCAUUCUAAAAGCCAUGUCUGAUUUCCUUCAAGUUGGGCAUGAAUUAGAAUUCAAUAAUAGUAAUAGUUUACUAAUCACAUCUUCCUUGUUUAAUAAUAGCCUCCCCGAUGCUCAUCAACAUCAGAUUUUGUAAAUUGUUUCUCAAAAGGGUCACUACAUAUAGUACCAAUUAUUCCUCUUAAA